rnacentral:tRNA from 1 species
GGGGUUGUGGCUCAGUGGAAGAGUGCUUGCUUUGCACGCGUGGAGCACUGAGUUCGAUCCUCAGCACCACA